rnacentral:rRNA from 1 species
UAAAGCUUCCAACUGGGAUUAGAUACCCCACUAUUCUUGGAUAUAAAAAAAUAUGAAUUUACCAGAGUACUAUGGAUUGAUGACAUUUAAAACUCAAAGAGCUUGGCGGUGUUUUAGACUCUUUAGGGGAACCUGUCUCAUAAUCGACAAUCCACGUAAGACCUGACCUUUAUUUGCUUUCAGUUUGUAUACCGUCGUCGUCAGGUAACUUUUUAGAAGAAAGAAGUUAGCGAUUGAGCUUCCAAUAAGCUCUUACGUCAGAUCAAGGUGCAGCCAACAUAAAGGGGAGGAUGGGUUACAAUUAUAAGAAUCAUAAUUACGGAAUGACCGUUUUGAAUAGCAGUCAUGAAGGAGGACUUAAAAGUAAAAUAAAAUAUAUAAAUAUAUUGAAUUGAGCUCUGAAACGUGCACACACCGCCCGUCACCCUCCUGCAGUCAA